UUCGGCGUUCCAACCAUGCAACCCUUCCUCAUCGAAAAUGAAGAAUCCGUCUUCAGGUUCGAUCCUGUGUUCGAAAUAUGUGUGUGAACUUUAGUACUAUUUCUUCAUCUGUGUCUCUCAUAAGUGUGGCCACAUUUGAUUUUUGUUGAAUAAAUGUGCUGAUUUUAAGUCUGUGAUUUCCAUUCGACCCUAUUUGCAUGUCCUGCUUGAUUGAAAUUUCGUGACGCUUAACUUGAAUGGUGAGUCAAUUUGUUUGUCUAUCUCUGGUGUGUGUAAACACGCCUAACUUCUUGAAACUUCACAUUUUUUAUGCCUCUUAGUCAAUAUGGGUAAUUUUGUACGAGAAAAGCAUGUAUGUGACGAUUCGAGGAUUUUUUCGUAAAUCUUUAAUAAG
rnacentral:lncRNA from 1 species